UAGGGAAUCUNNNNNNAAGGNCGGAAGUCUGACCGAGCAACGCCGCGUGAGNCUNAGAAGGUUUUCGGAUCGUAAAGCUCUGUUGUAAGAGAAGAACGAGUGUGAGAGUGGAAAGUUCACACUGUGACGGUAUCUUACCAGAAAGGGACGGCUAACUACGUGCCAGCAGCCGCGGUAAUACGUAGGUCCCGAGCGUUGUCCGGAUUUAUUGGGCGUAAAGCGAGCGCAGGCGGUUAGAUAAGUCUGAAGUUAAAGGCUGUGGCUUAACCAUAGUAGGCUUUGGAAACUGUUUAACUUGAGUGCAAGAGGGGAGAGUGGAAUUCCAUGUGUAGCGGUGAAAUGCGUAGAUAUAUGGAGGAACACCGGUGGCGAAAGCGGCUCUCUGGCUUGUAACUGACGCUGAGGCUCGAAAGCGUGGGGAGCAAACAGGAUUAGAUACCCUGGUAGUCCACGCUGUAAACGAUGAGUGCUAGGUGUUAGACCCUUUCCGGGGUUUAGUGCCGUAGCUAACGCAUUAAGCACUCCGCCUGGGGAGUACGACCGCAAGGUUG
rnacentral:rRNA from 1 species